rnacentral:misc_RNA from 1 species
ACGAGACUUGCCCCCUGGGCAGACCUCCCACCCCCUGUGUACCCUACCUCUGUUGCUUUGGCAGGCCCGUCCUCGGACCGCCGGCUCACGCUGGCCCGCGCCUGCCAGAGGACCAACCCAACCCUGCUCUACGUGUCGUCUGAGUAAACACAAAAUAAUUA